GCUUUCGUGGUGUAGUAUUCAGCACUCUCGACGCGUAAUUGAGAGAUCAGUGGUUCGAGUCCCGGUGAGAGCA
rnacentral:tRNA from 1 species